rnacentral:rRNA from 1 species
GGGUUGUGAGGUUAAGCGACUAAGCGUACACGGUGGAUGCCCUGGCAGUCAGAGGCGAUGAAGGACGUGCUAAUCUGCGAUAAGCGUCGGUAAGGUGAUAUGAACCGUUAUAACCGGCGAUUUCCGAAUGGGGAAACCCAGUGUGUUUCGACACACUAUCAUUAACUGAAUCCAUAGGUUAAUGAGGCGAACCGGGGGAACUGAAACAUCUAAGUACCCCGAGGAAAAGAAAUCAACCGAGAUUCCCCCAGUAGCGGCGAGCGAACGGGGAGGAGCCCAGAGCCUGAAUCAGUGUGUGUGUUAGUGGAAGCGUCUGGAAAGGCGCGCGAUACAGGGUGACAGCCCCGUACACAAAAAUGCACAUGCUGUGAGCUCGAUGAGUAGGGCGGGACACGUGGUAUCCUGUCUGAAUAUGGGGGGACCAUCCUCCAAGGCUAAAUACUCCUGACUGACCGAUAGUGAACCAGUACCGUGAGGGAAAGGCGAAAAGAACCCCGGCGAGGGGAGUGAAAAAGAACCUGAAACCGUGUACGUACAAGCAGUGGGAGCAUGCUUAGGCGUGUGACUGCGUACCUUUUGUAUAAUGGGUCAGCGACUUAUAUUCUGUAGCAAGGUUAACCGAAUAGGGGAGCCGAAGGGAAACCGAGUCUUAACUGGGCGUUAAGUUGCAGGGUAUAGACCCGAAACCCGGUGAUCUAGCCAUGGGCAGGUUGAAGGUUGGGUAACACUAACUGGAGGACCGAACCGACUAAUGUUGAAAAAUUAGCGGAUGACUUGUGGCUUGGGGUGAAAGGCCAAUCAAACCGGGAGAUAGCUGGUUCUCCCCGAAAGCUAUUUAGGUAGCGCCUCGUGAACUCAUCUCCGGGGGUAGAGCACUGUUUCGGCAAGGGGGUCAUCCCGACUUACCAACCCGAUGCAAACUGCGAAUACCGGAGAAUGUUAUCACGGGAGACACACGGCGGGUGCUAACGUCCGUCGUGAAGAGGGAAACAACCCAGACCGCCAGCUAAGGUCCCAAAGUCAUGGUUAAGUGGGAAACGAUGUGGGAAGGCCCAGACAGCCAGGAUGUUGGCUUAGAAGCAGCCAUCAUUUAAAGAAAGCGUAAUAGCUCACUGGUCGAGUCGGCCUGCGCGGAAGAUGUAACGGGGCUAAACCAUGCACCGAAGCUGCGGCAGCGACGCUUAUGCGUUGUUGGGUAGGGGAGCGUUCUGUAAGCCUGUGAAGGUGUACUGUGAGG